rnacentral:tRNA from 2 species
GGCGUGGUGGCAGAGUGGUCUAAUGCGCUAGACUCGAAAUCUAGUCCCUUCGGGGGCGCAUGUUCGAAUCAUGCCCACGUCG